rnacentral:rRNA from 1 species
GUCCACGCCGUAAACGAUGAAUGCUAAGUGUUGGAGGGUUUCCGCCCUUCAGUGCUGCAGCUAACGCAAUAAGCAUUCCGCCUGGGGAGUACGACCGCAAGGUUGAAACUCAAAGGAAUUGACGGGGGCCCGCACAAGCGGUGGAGCAUGUGGUUUAAUUCGAAGCAACGCGAAGAACCUUACCAGGUCUUGACAUCUUUUGAUAAUCCUAGAGAUAGGACUUUCCCUUCGGGGACAAAAUGACAGGUGGUGCAUGGUUGUCGUCAGCUCGUGUCGUGAGAUGUUGGGUUAAGUCCCGCAACGAGCGCAACCCUUAUUGUUAGUUGCCAGCAUUAAGUUGGGCACUCUAGCAAGACUGCCGGUGACAAACCGGAGGAAGGUGGGGAUGACGUCAAAUCAUCAUGCCCCUUAUGACCUGGGCUACACACGUGCUACAAUGGACGGUACAACGAGUCGCAAGACCGCGAGGUUUAGCAAAUCUCUUAAAGCCGUUCUCAGUUCGGAUUGUAGGCUGCAACUCGCCUACAUGAAGUCGGAAUCGCUAGUAAU